GACCUCCUUCGGCCUCCUCUCUCCCAUGGCUUCUUCUACUUCGCCUUCGAGUUACCAUCCCAUUCUCCUCUAAUCUUUCUGUCCGCUUUGCGCUCUCUUGAUCGGUGUAAGAUACUGAAGAUUGUGCCUUUGCCAUGGUCUCGCUCGCUGACUCCCAGUGCGGGAGGGCUCCGCGCUACCACCAUGGCCGAUCCAUGCGCACGGUGCGCUCCUACCUCUUCCACCACCGUCCCUCCACCGGUGCCCCGCCCGCCCUGCCCCCUUCCUCCUCCGCCGCCGUCUCUGAGAACCUGACCGACUCCGUCGUCGACUUCAAGCUCCGGGAGCUCGCGGUCGGGGUAGGGUCCUCCGUCGCUGAGCCUGCCGCCUCCACCGAGGAGCUUCUCGAGAUCUCUCGGGAGUUCUCGGACUGCUCCAGCUUUGGCUCCGACAUCUCCGGCGAGCUCCAGAGGUUGGCCUCCCUCCCCAGAUCCGAGGCGCCGCGGAGCACUGCGUCGCCGGAGAUCGAUGGCAUCGAGGCGCUGGGGGGAACAGGAAUCGGCUCGUCGUCCGAGAUCUUGGAGAGCGCGUCGCUGGAUGGCGUGGAGCCGGUGGUGCGCGCGUGCGUGGAAGGCCUGGGGUCGCCGUCGGCGGAGGCGAAGCGCGUGGCGGCGUCGAAGAUCCGGCUCCUGGCGAAGCACCGGUCCGACUUCCGGGCGCUCAUAGGGGCGUCGGGGGCGAUCCCGGCGCUGGUUCCGCUGCUGCGUAGCACGGAUCCGGCGGCGCAAGAGAGCGCGGCGACGGCGCUGCUGAACCUCUCGCUGGAGGAGGUCAACAAGGGCCGGAUCGCGGCGGCAGGCGCGAUCAAACCGCUGGUCUACGCAAUGCGGACUGGGACGGCGGCCGCGAAGCAGAACGCGGCGUGUGCGCUGCUGAGCCUGUCGAUGAUCGAGGAGAACCGUGCAACGAUCGGGGCCUGCGGGGCGAUCCCGCCGCUGGUGGCGCUUCUAGUGGGUGGGUCGAGCCGGGGCAAGAAGGACGCUCUCACCACGCUCUACAAGCUGUGCUCCACGCGGCGGAACAAGGAGCGAGCGGUUAGCGCAGGGGCUGCGGUGCCGCUGGUGGGCAUGGUGGGGGAGCCCGGCGGGGGCACGGCCGAGAAGGCGAUGGUCGUGCUGGGAAGCCUGGCGGCCAUCCCGGAGGGCCGUGAGGCGAUCGUGGAGGCCGGCGGCAUCCCGACACUUGUCGAGGCGAUCGAGGCCGGCCCGGCGAGGGGGAGGGAGUUCGCCGUGCACGCCCUGCUCCUGCUCUGCGCCGACAGCCCCCGGAACCGCGGCCUUCUCGUCCGCGAGGGCGCCAUCCCACCGCUCGUCGCCCUCUCGCAGUGCGGCUCCGCCCGCGCCAAGCUCAAGGCGGAGACGCUUCUCGGCUACUUGCGCGAGCAGCGGCAGGACAUGGCGAGGUAAUCUCUCGCUUGCUGAUAAUGGUAAAACCGUAAAUAAUGGGCCAUGCUGUCACCUUAAAGUGGCUGGUUUUGUGUGCGCUGUUUGGUACUAAUCACUGUCGACUGACCUGUUCUGAAAUGAUUAAUUAUAUUGGGUAGGGAAUAGCAGUAGAUCUGUAAAGAGUUGUGGUGGGUGAUGCCACCAUACUCUGUCAUCUGAUCUUGGUGUGAGGGUUUGAGGAAGGGAAAGGAGAGGAUUUGGGUUAUAAGACUCUGGUUUUUUUGUUUGGGUUUGUCAUCCAAAUUCUGCUGCUGCUUAAAAUUGCUGUGUGUUGGGUUCUGACCCAGCCUUCAGAUGUUCAGAGCCUUUUUCAUGGAUGUUGCAAAUGGUAGCAGCCCAUGGCUAAGCUCAAAGCAGAUAGGCUGUCUGUUUGAUUCAUAUUAGCUGUUGCAAUGGGUUGCUUCAACCAUUGGUGAAGAUAAAAAUGUCAAUUUGGUUCUAAACCAGCCCUAGAAAGCUGCAUUAUCUUGACAUGAAUGGAGACAACAAAUGCAACAACUGAGAAGAUCUCCAGUGUGACAAAUGAAGGUUCUGAACCAGCUUUAAAAAUCUUGGAUUCUCCUUACAUGAAGAGAACAUCAUAUUGCAGUCACUGAAUGUAAAUUAGAUGCAAGCAGUGCUGGUCUUAUCCAGUAGUCACCUACCUCCACCUAAUGGAUACAGAACAUCCACAGUUGAUAGUUCCACUGGCUCCACAUUGCACUGGGGGAACAGUCACAAAUCUAAAGCUGUAGUGGAGCAGUCUAAAAUCUUUUUUCCAUCCAAAGAACAAUAGAGACAAGACAGACUGGCUCUUCACCAUAAUCCAUUAUGAACUGAUGCAGAUAGCUGUCAAAUAGUGGACCCUAAGUUGUUGUGGUUGAGUCCCUUUACAUGAAAAAUGACAAUGAGUUGUAUUUUAGAUAGCAUAGUAUGCCUUU